rnacentral:rRNA from 1 species
AAUGAACGCUGGCGGCGCGCCUAAUACAUGCAAGUCGAGCGAGAAGACGUAGCAAUACGUUUGUAAAGCGGCGAACGGGUGAGGAAUACAUGGGUAACCUACCCUCGAGUGGGGAAUAACUAGCCGAAAGGUUAGCUAAUACCGCGUACGCUCCUUGGACUUCGGUUCAGGGAGGAAAGCGAUACCGUGGGUAUCGCGCUCUUGGUUGGGCUCAUGUCCUAUCAGCUUGUUGGUGAGGUAACGGCUCACCAAGGCUUCGACGGGUAGCUGGUCUGAGAGGACGAUCAGCCACACUGGCACUGCGACACGGGCCAGACUCCUACGGGAGGCAGCAGUAAGGAAUAUUGCGCAAUGGGCGAAAGCCUGACGCAGCGACGCCGCGUGGGGGAUGAAAGUCUUCGGAUUGUAAACCCCUUUCGGGAGGGAAGAUGGAACGAGCAAUCGUUCGGACGGUACCUCCAGAAGCAGCCACGGCUAACUUCGUGCCAGCAGCCGCCGCAGUAA